CUUGUACACACCGCCUGUCACACCAUGGGAGCGGGAUGUACCAGAAGUAGGUAGGCUAACCGCAAGGGGGCCGCUUACCACGGUGCGUUUCGUGACUGGGGUG
rnacentral:rRNA from 1 species